CCAAUAGCGUAUAUUAAAGUUGUUGCAGUUAAAAAGCUCGUAGUUGAAUUUCGGGGUCAGUAGGUUGGUCGUGCCACUGGUAUGUACUGAUCUCACUGAUUCCUCCUUCCUGAUGAGCUGUAAUGCCAUUAAUUUGGUGUUGCAGGGAAUCUGGACUGUUACUUUGAAAAAAUUAGAGUGUUUAAAGCAGGCUAACGCUUGAAUACAUUAGCAUGGAAUAAUGAAAUAGGACGUUCGAUCCUAUUUUGUUGGUUUCUAGGAUUGACGUAAUGAUUAAUAGGGAUAGUUGGGGGCAUUAGUAUUCAAUUGUCAGAGGUGAAAUUCUUGGAUUUAUUGAAGACUAACUACUGCGAAAGCAUUUGCCAAGGAUGUUUUCAUUAAUCAAGAACGAAAGUUAGGGGAUCGAAGACGAUCAGAUACCGUCGUAGUCUUAACCAUAAACUAUGCCGACUAGGGAUCGGAUGAUGUUAAUUUUUUAAUGACUCAUUCGGCGCCUUACG
rnacentral:rRNA from 2 species